UACGAAGGGGGGCUAGCGUUGCUCGGAAUCACUGGGCGUAAAGCGCACGUAGGCGGAUUGCUAAGUCAGGGGUGAAAUCCUGGAGCUCAACUCCAGAACUGCCUUUGAUACUGGCGAUCUUGAGUCCGGGAGAGGUGAGUGGAACUGCGAGUGUAGAGGUGAAAUUCGUAGAUAUUCGCAAGAACACCAGUGGCGAAGGCGGCUCACUGGCCCGGUACUGACGCUGAGGUGCGAAAGCGUGGGGAGCAAACGGG
rnacentral:rRNA from 1 species